GUUUGCAAAACGCUGAGCAUAUUUUUUUGUGGUCUCAGUAUUCAGAGCUCAAAGUACAUCAGGUGAAGAACCUGGAAUCUACAAGUUCAAGAGGCAUGGGGAGCACCUUGGGUCUUGUUUUAUCACCUAGGCUGGAAUGCAGUGGAACCUGCUUAGCUCACUGUAGCCUUGAACUGCUGGGCUCAAGCAGUCCUCCUGUUUUGGCCUCUGAAGCAACUGGGACUACAGGUAUUGGCCUGGAGUGAUUCCAAGCUCUCCUGGAACAGGAGGUGCCCCCACUCUGGGCAUAAAUAUCUCUCCCUCAUCCCUCGCAGACAACGAUCUUUGAGUACCAUCCAGUCAUAAUAUAGACAUGGCCAAGGUAACGGAGGACAGAAUGACACAUGGUACAAGCUUUCUGUCUUACUGCCACACGUCAGUGUCCUGGGAGAUGAACCAGAUGCAGGUGAUGCCGAAGAGGUGACGGGGCCAGGGCUGGGGCAUGAGCACUGGUCAACACUGACACUCAACAGCUCCCAUCUGGCUUGUGUGUGAGCACCCGAGUGUAGCUCAAGGCAGGGACAAUAUUUGCUGGAAGUUUAGGUGUUCCCUAGGCGUCCUAGCUAGGCAGAGGAGGGAAUGAAGAUAGGUUUUGCAAGUAGAAAUAAAAAAGAAGCACUAUUAUAGCAUGAUAACAUUUCCUAAAGUCAUUUUAUGAACCAUUUUUGGUUAAUUAAAAAAAAAAAAAGCCGAUCUAUAUGUCAUGGCUGAGACAUUGAUUAGCAAGGUGCUACUUUUACAGAUGAAAGAACUAAAAACAAGAAAGACAAUGAUUCGCGCACAGUGAUUUGCUGGAGAUUGAUUGGCAAGUGUGAGCCAGACCUGGAGUAGAAUUCAACAUGUCUGGUGCCUGCUCCAGAACUCUGACAAUGAAAAGGAGUCCAGAUUUUGAGAAUGAAGAAGGUUUCAAAAGCUAAGCCAGCUUCCCUUUCACAGAGGUUCAGCUGGUCAGGCUUCUUUCAAAUCCACGCCCUGUUACGGGAGAGCACGGUGCUAGGAGCGUGUGGGAGGGGCAGCCCUGAGCCAACACUCCCUCUAGAAAAACAUCCUAAGGCCAUAUCAUGGUGACAACGGGACAGGAUUAUUAUAUUCCUAUUGGAAGGAUCACACUGUUAUGUUAUCAUUUCCUUUAGGAAAUACCCACAUCCCCAAACUACUUAGUGAUUAUGAGUCCCUACAGAACAAACAACCCUCACCUUAGACCAAAGAAAUAUGUCUCUCAGUCAAACAAAUGUACGUAGAAUCAGUGAGCGCAAAGCCCUACCUCAAAUAAGUUCAGAAGCCCCUCAAAAUGAGGUCCCGUGAUAGAGUUUCAGUAACUCUAAUGUCCCUAGUUGAGCUAACCAUCUGGCAUGGCAAACUCAUGGGCCAGUGAAUACUCGGUACUUUGCAGAUUCACAGUUUUUGUCUCUGCUUCUAUCCGACCAUACCUCUGCCCAGCUCCCUGCAAUCUGCCUGCUCUUUUGGUCAUUGAAUGACAGCGUAUCCCAGAGUGACUUUUGGGAGCUAUUUUUGAGCUUACCCAUAUUUGUAGUUCCCCAACUCACCGGGAAUGGAGGCUGGGUGAGUAGCAGAGGAACGUGCCUAGAUGUGACAAAAGAGUGGGGUAGAUGUAUUAAAUGAAUAUUCAAUGAGAACCCACUGUACGCCAAGCCCUUUUCUAGUCCAGGAAACUCAGCAAUGAGCAAAGUCAUAAAAAUCCCUUCUCUCAUAGAAUUUACAAUUUGGGAUGUGUGUGUGUGUGUGUGUGUGUGUGUGUGUGUGUGUAUGUGUGUGUAUGACACAUACACACAUUAGGGACAGGGUGGGUAAGAUAUAAUGACUAAAAUGUGUGGAAAACUUCAUAUGGUAUAUUAAAAGAAAAUAAAAGUCCAGGCACGGUGGCUCACGCCUGUAAUCCCAGCACUUUGGGAGGCUGAGGCAGGUGGAUCACCUGAGGCCAGGAGUUUGAGACCAGCAUGGCCAACAUGAUGAAACUCUGUCUCUACUAAAAAUACAAAAAUUAGCCAGGGAUGGUGGCGCAUGCCUGUAAUUCCAGCUACUUGGGAGACUGAGGUAGGAGCAUCGCUUGAACCUGGGAGGCGGAGGUUGUGGUGGGCCGAGAUUGCGCCACUGCACUCCAGCCUGAGCAAUAGAGAGAGACUCCAUCUCAAAAAUAAAUAAAAUAAAAUAAAAUAAAGUAAGUACUAUGGGGUGAAACUAGGAAAAGGGGAUAGGAGGCUUUGAGGUGGAAGGUGAUAGCUGUAAUUUAAAUAAAGUGAUAAAACUCAGUGAGAAGGUUACAUUUGAGUAAAAACUUGAAGAAAAAGUAACAAGCCGUAAGGUCAUAUGGGGAAGAGCAUUCCAGCCCCCAAAACAGCAAGUGCAGAAGCUCUAGCUAGGGCCACCCUGAUGCCCAUUUUCAGGGUGUGCUAUUCUCAUGGUACCCUAUGUAGGUGGUGUCCACUGGGAUUGUGUUAUGAACAAUGUGCAUUGGAAAACAUGGCAGACCCGUCAUAAAGCAGGAACAGCAAGGAGGCCUGGAAGGGUAGGGGGAGGCCAGAGAGAAAAUGGAGGGCCAGGUAUUUUCAGGCUCUUUCAACUAGCUCUGCUGGAAAGCUAGCUUACUGUCCAGGGAAUUUUUAGACAGUCCCUUUGCCCAUGUCUGCUGAUACCACAUGCCCUAAAAGCAGGUAGGCUGUGUCUAGCCUUCUUGGGUUUGAUAGUUGAUAAGUGAGCUCCAUGAGGGAGAUGUACAACUGAUGUGUCUUUGCAUGGCGGUUUUUUCAAUUCUCUAGCUCCCUGAUGAAUGUGGGAAUAAAAAUUUAUAUCAGAAUCGACACUGGUUAUAAUGUGAAUUUAUGACAUUACUUGAGAAUAUUCAAUUCUGCUGUAGAGGACAAAAAAAAUGGAAUAAUGAAAUCCAUCAUAAACCCUGGGCAUAGUUGUGAGUUAAAUACAUUUGAGGAGAUUAACGCCAAAUGAUUAAGAUGACAUGAUAAGAUAAGGUCAGCAAUCAGGGGCUGUUAAUCUACCUACAACCCCCAUCCACCUCCACCAUACACAUACACCAAUUGUCUUUUAACACUUACGUUCUUUGCAGAAUUGGGUUUGGUUAUGUGAUUACCAUUGACACGUUAUGACGCAAGUGCUCCUGGGGUGUAGACCAUUGUUUUUAUUAAACUUCUGAGCCAAAAUCAUAGAAUGGCGGUAUUGAGCAAGGAGGAGGGAGAAUCCAUGUAUUGUUGGUGCUUGUUAUCAGAUUAUCCCAAAAUGGAUACUAUUCUACUUCACCUGGGACCGAAGACAGCCCACAGACCCAUUACGGGUACAUUUUAGAUAAUAUUUCUGAUGUUAGAGAAUAAGCAUUUUCAGACCCCACCAGGUUCUCCAGCUUCUUGGCCUGAGCUUUCAGUUCCUCCUCCUCCUUCUUUUUUUUUUUUUUCUGAAACGGAGUUUCGCUCUUCUUGCCCAGGCUGGAGUGCAAUGGCGCAGUCUCGGCUCAUUGCAACCUCCGCCUCCCGGGUUCAAGCGAUUCUCCUGUCUCAGCCUCCUGAGUAGCUGGGAUUACAGGUGUCUGCCACCACGCCUGGUUAAUUUUUGGUAUUUUUAAUAGAGAUGGGGUUUCCUCAUGUUGGCCAGACUGGUCUCGAACUCCUGACCUCAGGUUAUCUACCUGCCUUGGCCUCCCAAAGUGCUGGCAUUACAGGUGUGAGCCACCACGCCCGGCCAGUUCCUCCUUCUUCUUAUCCUCACCUCCCCACCCCAAGUUAACUCAGACUAGCCCAGAUAUGCCCUGAGCAAAGGAAGGGAUCCUGCCAAGCCCUAGAUGCUUUGCAGAAACCUCAGUGAUAGAAGCCAAAUACGGAUAUUCAGUAUAAACACACACAUGCACACACACACAAUGACAUUCAAACUUAACACUUGAAUCAACUAAAAAAAAAAAGCUUUGCUAAGUUUGCUAGCUUUUUAAAGAGAUGGUUUAAAGGGACUGCAACUCAGAAUGUACUUUUCAAUAGAAAUAGUAAUUCUAAGGCAAGCUUAGGAUACUGCAAUUAGCCUAAGUGGUAGGCUGGGCAUGGUGAAGCCAGUGCCUGUGGUCCCAGCUACACUGGAGGCUGAGGUGAGAGGAUUCCUUGAGCCCAGGAGUUUAAAGCUGCAGUGAUCUAUGAGGGCACCACUGCACUCCAGCCUGGGCUACAGAGUGAGACCCUGUCUCAAAUUGUAUCCCUAUCCCCACCCAAAAAAAACCUAAGUGGUACUCAUUUCACAGCAAAUGCUCACUUCCUCUCUUUUUCUAGUAUUUUUUUCUUUUUCUCUGUGGAUCACAUAAAGGGAGGAACAUUUAGUUUUUUUUUUUUGGAAACAGAGUCUCACUCUGUCACCCAGUCUGGAGUGCGGUGGUGCCAUCAUCGCUUACUGCAGCCUCAAACUCCUGGGCUCAAGAGAUCCUCUCAUCUCAGCCUCCCAUGUAGCUAAGAAUGCAGGUGUGUGCCACCAUGUCCAGCUAAUUUUUUUUUUUUUUUUUUUUUGUAGAGAGGAAGCUGCCAUCAUAGCUCCCUGUGUUGCCUAAGCUGGUCUCAAACUCAUGACCUCAAGCAAUCCUCCCUCUUUGGCCUCCCAAAGUGCUGCGAUUACAGGCGUGAGCCCCUAUGCCUGGCUGAUUUAGAUAGUUUUAAUUAACAUGUAAUUCAUUGCUUAAUGUCUUUAAUUAUCUCUUCUCUGUAAGCACCAUGAAAGCAGGAGUUGAUUCUUGUUCCUACCUGUAUCACCAAUGAUUGGCACAUAGUACAUACACAAUAUACAUUUUUCAACGAUAUGAACGUAUGAAAGAAUAAAAAGAGAGAAAGAAGAAAGGAAAAAAGGUGGACACUGGGUGGGUGAAGGUUCUGGUCUGCUUGAAAGCUUCCCCCUCUUUCUCUGGCAGAUGAGAGGGCAAAGCCCUACAGCAUGGUGCUUUGCAGUACUGAAAGGAGCAUGAACUUCGGUGUCAGACAGACUGGGUCUCAAUCUUCGCUCUACCCUUGGCUGUGCUUCACUAUUUUUUUUUUUUUUUUUUUAAGAUGGAGUUUCUCUCUUGUUGCCCAGGCUGGAGUGCAAUGGCGCGAUCUCGGCUCACUGCAACCUCCGCCUCCUGGGUUCAAGCAAUUCUCCUGCCUCAGCCUCCCGAGUAUCUGGGACUACAGGCAUGUACCACCACGCCGGCUAAUUGUGUAUUUUUAGUAGAGACGGGGUUUCUCCAUGUUGGCCAGGCUGGUCUUGAACUCUCGAUCUCAGGUGAUCCGCCCACCUUGGCCUCCUUCACUAUUUAACCUCUCUGAAUUUCAGUUUCCUCAUCUAUAUACUGGAGAGAAUACCAACUGCAUACAAUCUUUGUUACAUAUACCAGAUAAUGUACUAUAUAUAAAAGCUCUCUGCCAGGUGCCAGGCUCAGAGUUCUGAAUAAAGAAACACUAAAAGCUAGUUUCUCGUGGGCACUGACUUUAGGAAAUCUUUGAGGUACACAUUGCAAGUUUUAGGUGAUGCACAGUGGGGUUGUAGGAUGAAAAGCUAAGUGCCAAGUCCUCUGAUUUUCCUUCCUCACAAUCUUUGGCUUAGAGAUUUAAUACUUUGUCUUCAGCCACCUCUUGAGGGCCAAUCCCAUCUACUCAUCUAAGGCUCUGUCCCACAUCUUAAUUGUCUUCUGCAUAGUUGCAUGUUUUACUGUCAGCUCAAAUUUAACAUACCCGACAACACCGAGUAUCAGUUUCUUCCCCAAAGAGUGUCUCCUUUCAGAUUAUCUUUCUGUUAAUCUUACUUCUGUUCCCUAGAACUUCAGGUUCAGAGCCUCAGAAUCAGUUAUCCUUGACUCACCUAGAAGAAGGAUCAAACCAUGUCUUCUUGAGCCAGUAGGCCCGAGCCCAAGUCUGAAUAUCGACAGUUGCCUGUUGAAUGGAUGAGCUUGUUUUUCACAUCCACCAAAACCUGUUUUACCUAUUGCCUUCCAUAUUCUUAUUAAUAAAUCCUCCCUUCUCUCCUACUUAUUAAAGCUUGAAACCUCAAACUCAUCUUUGGUAACAUACUCUUAGUCAAUGACAACAUUCAGCCAAUUCAAUGGCUCCUGUCCCUUUUCCUUGAUGUGAUCUUUCAUAUUAAUUUCUUUUCCUCUAUCUGCCACUACAACUCUUGUCCAGAUCAUACCGAGUAAGAGCAUGGACUUUGGUGUCAAACAGAAUUGGGUUCAAGGACAAGCUUUGUCACUUUUUAACUGUGUGCUGCUAGACAAGUUGCUAGCCUUUUUCCUUAUCUAGCAAAAUGAAUAAUAAUAGUAUCCAUCUCGUAUGGUUGGACGAUUAAUUAGGUAACAGUCACUGACAGCAUCCAUUUCUCACUGCUAUUCAUGCUCACGUAUCAAAGAGUUAUAUCUUCUUCCUUCCAAUGAUGACAUUUCUUCUACAACAUUCCUGAUGAACAGGUCAUCUUGCCUAGACUUGACUCUCUUCAAGGUUGGGUGGGCCAGUGUGUGAGAAAAUGUGAGUUAUUUAUGAAUGAGUUUAGUUGUAUUAAAGGUCGUCCUUAUACUGAGCUUAUGUUCACCUUUCUAUCAUUUUAACUAUCUGGGGCAAUAAAGAAUUCACUGAAAUCAUUUUCUACAUUACAGCAACAUUUUAAGCCUGUGAAGUCAUCUCUUGCAUUCCACUUUUAUAUUUCAUCUUGCAGAUUAAACAUCACAAGUUGUUGUAAUCUUUCUUCUAAUGUCCUCUGGAUCCACUCCACUUUAUGAAUAUUCUUUUAAAAAUUUGUUGUCCUAAGCUGAUCAUGAAAAUACAAUGGACUCAGAUUAGGAAAAACCAUCUUGAAAAUGAAGAACAAAGUUGGAGGAGUCACACUUCCCAAUUCCAAAAUUUUGUCCACAGCUUCAAUAAUCAAGACAGCAUGGAACUGGCAUAAGAGGAGACAUAGAUCAAUGGAAUAGAGUUGAGGGUCCAGAAAUAAACCUUAACAUGUAUGGUCAAUUGAUUGCUAACAAGGAUGUCAGAACAAUUAAGUGAGUAAAGAAUAGACAUUUCAACAAAUAAUGCUGGAAUUAACUGAAUAUCCACAUGCAAAAGAAUAAAGUUGAGCGCUUUUCUCACACCACACAGAAAAGUUAACUCCGGGUGGAUAAUAGACACAAAUAUAUGAGCUAAAGCCAUAAAGCUCCUAGAAGAAAACAUAGAAGUAAACCUUCAUGAUCUUAGGUUAGGCAGUGGUUUCUUAGAUAUGGCACCAAAACACAAGCAACAAAAGAAAAAAUAGGUAAGUUAGAUCUUACACAAUUAAAAACUUUUGUGUAGCAAACAGUACAAAAUAGAAUGUGAAAAGACAACCUACAGAAUGGGAGAAAAUAUUUGCAGAUCAUAUAUUUGAUAAGGAAUUUGUAUUCAGAAUAAAUAAAUAACUCUUAAAAAUCACUAAUAAUAAGAUAAAUAACUCAAUUUAAGAUGGGCAAAAGAUCCAAAUAGACAUUUUUUUCAAAGAAGACAAAUGGACAAAGUGCAUUAGGGAAAUUCAAAUCAAAACCACAAUGAGAUACCACUUGACACCCACUAGAGUGGCUAUAAUAAAAAAGAUGAAAUUGACAGGUGUUCACAAGAAUGUGGAAAAAUUCGAAACCUGUUUACAUAGCGCUGGUGAGGAUGUAAAAGGGUGCCGCAAGGGUGCACUUUGGAAAACUGUCAGUAUUCGACAAUGUCUAACAAUGUUAAACACAGAGUUACUAUAUGGCCUAGAUGUAUACCUAAGAGAAAUAAAACAUAUAUUGGCAUAAAAACUUAUAGCUAGGAGCAGUGGCACCCACCUCUAGUCCCAAAUACUUGGGAGGCUGAGGCAGGAGGCUCAUCUGAGCCCAGGAGUUGGAGACUAGCCUGGGCUAUAUAGUGAAACUCAAUUUCUGAAAAAAAAAAGAAAAGAAAAAGAAACAAAAAUCUCUUAUAUUGAUCAAUAUUCAAAUGUUCGUAUUAAGUGUGGUCUAUCCAUACAAUGAGGUAUUAUUCAGCAAUAAAAAUGAAUGAAACACUGACACAGGAUAGAAAAUGGAUGAGCCUCAAAGAAUUGUGGUGCGUGAAAGAAUCCAGUCACAAAAGACCACAUAUCGUGUAAUUUCAUUUAUAUAAAAUAUUCAGAAUAGGCAGAUCUAUAGAGAUGGGAAGUAGAUUAGUGGUUGCUUAGGGGCUGGGUUAGGGGUGAACAGGAAAUGACUACUGAUGGUUACUGUGUCUUUUUUAUAGAUGAUAAAAGUGCUGGCCAGGCGUGGUGGCUCAUGCCUGUAAUCCCAGCACUUUGGGAGGCCGAGGCGGGUGGAUUACCUGAGAUCAGGAGUUCAAGACCAGCCUGGCUAACAUGGCGAAACCCCGUCUCUGCUAAAAAUACAAAAAUUAGCUGGGUGUAGUGGCAUGCACCUGUAAUCCGAGCUAUCCAGGAGACUGAGACAGGAGAAUCGCUUGAACCUGGAGGCAGUAAGCCAAGAUCGCACCAUUGCAUUCCAGCCUAGGCGACAGAGCAAGACUCUGUCUCAAAAAAAAAAAAAAAAAAAAGUGCUCUGACGUUAUAUUAUGGUGUUGGUCGCACAACUUUGUGAAUAUAUGAGAAGUCAUGGAAUUGUAUACUUUCAAUGAAUAAAUUAUAAGGCAUACAAGUUAUAUCUCAAUAAAGCUGUUUGCUAAAUUUGGACGUCACUUUUUUUUUAAACAGCUUUGUUGAGGUAUAACUCUGGUGUUAUACGUUUAGUAUUUGUUUGUUCACCUCUAUCAUAAGCUAUAUAAGCUAUAUGUCUCUUAGGACUGGGAUCAUUUUUAUCAAUUGUUACACCUCCACUUCCUUGUAUAGUACUUUUUGCCCGAAUGUUAAUUUAAAAAUGUUUGUUGAAUGAUACAUUUUAGGCUAAAUGAAUACAGUUUGCAUCAGCAUUAGGGUAGACAUGUCACAUGUAGUCCACUAACCCUCCCCAAGUCUUUUAUGUGAGUUGUUGUUAAGCCAGGGCAAUUCUAUCCUGUACUUGGGCAGAAAUUUCUUGAAAAAAAUCAAAGUUAAGAGUUUACAUUUAUUUUAAAAUUUUUAUCAUGUUAGAACCCAUCAGUCAUUUUAGCCAGUUAAGUGUUUUUUUUUUUUUUUUUUUUUUUUGAGAUGGAGUCUUGCUGUUUUGCCCAGGCUGGAGUGCAGUAGUGCGAUCUUGGCUCACUGCAACAUCUGCCUCCCAGGUUCAAGUGGUUCUCCUGCCUUAGCCUCCCCAGUAGCUGGGGUGACAGGUAUGCACCAUGUUGCCCAAGUUUUUGCAUUAUUUAGUAGAGAUGGGGUUUCACCACAUUGCCCAGGCUGGUCUUGAACUCUUGACGUCAAGUGAUCUGCCCGCCUCGGCCUCCAAAGGUGCUGGGAUUACAGGCAUGAGCCACUGCGCCCAGCCAAGAUUUUCUUGGAUUUUUUUCUCUGUCAUUAAGUGUAGUCUCUAUUUCUACCUGCUUUGUACUACAAACCAAUUUAAAUAAGCAUGCUGUCUUUCUCCAUAAAAACAUUAAACUGUAGAACAAUGUUUUUAUGGAGAAAAAGAGCUAAAGUCACAUGCUGGUGGAGCAUAAAACGCUCACUUGAAGAACACCUUGGUAAUGGCUCCAGCUAACUGUACCAUGACCUAAUCCUGUGGCUGGAACCUCUGGGGAGUCUUAUCCACCUCCCCAAAUCCAUUUGACAAGCUCAGGUCCAAUACCACUUCUUUCAUGGGCUAUUCUCUGAUCUUCUCAGAAUGUCUAUCUUCUAUUGAAUUUGCCACAAUAUUUUGUUUGUACUACUCUUGAGACAUCCCACACAACCUUGAAUUAUAAUUGCUCACAUGGGUGUCUCAGCAUUUAUUCUAGACCAUAAGAUACUUAAAAGGAGGAAUUGUGAUUUCUUUGACAGUUUUGUCUCUUAGAAUUUAAGGGUGAGGGUGCUUAAUAAGUAUUAGAAAUAACGGAUAAGUAAAAUAUUCAGUGCUAUUAAAAAUACUAUUAAAUCUCAACACCUCCAGGGGUUACAUAUCUGAAAAAAGAUAUCAUACAUAUCUAUAUAAAUUCUAAAAUAAAUUGAAAUAGUCCAUAUCAAAAACCCUGCUGGAGUAGGUAACUCUUCACAAUCGACUUCAAUUAUUCAUGAUAUAAUUUUUGCAGGCACAUCAAAAAUUGUAUGUUUAGAGGUUAGAGGAUGAAUCCUCUUACAGUUUUCAAACCAGUCUGUACUAGCUUGAAAUGUAAUGUUUCUUGCACUUGAAUUUUCCCUGCUUUGUGUCUGCCAGUCUUGGCCCAAUGCUUGGGUACUUUUUUUAUGUUAUUGUGGUGCUUACAGGUGUUUUUCCAGCUGUGUUUUUCUAUCCUGAGGUUACAUCGGAGUAUGACAUGAUCAAACCUCUUCUUUGCACCAUGUCACAGAACCACCUUAAUGGAAGAGUGGACAAUAACUAUUGUGGUUUUCUCCUAUUUCAGGUGAUGGAAUGGAACCAUGUGUGUACAAAAAGAUACAGGAAUGUACAUAUUCAGUUUGCAAUAUAAAAACAUACACUGUGAUUGGAGAGGGAUUACAACAUUCUAAUUGCAAUUUUUGUCAUUUAUUCAAUAAAUAUUUCCUGGCUGGGUAUGAUGGCUCAAAGUGCCUGUAAUCCCAGCACUUUGGGAGGCCAAAGCAGGCAAAUCACCUGAGGUCAGGAGUUUGAGACCAGCCUGGCCACCAUGGUGAAACCCCAUCUCUACUAAAAAUACACAAAUUAGCUGGGUGUGGUGGUGCAUGCCUGUAAUCUCAGCUACCUGGGAGGCUGAGGCAGGAGAAUUGCUUGAACUCGGGAGGCGGAGGUUGCAGUGAGCUGAGAUUGCACCACUGCACCCCAGCCUGGGCAACAGAGUGAGACUCUGUCUCAAAACAAACAAACAAACAAACAAACAAAUUCCUGAGUGCCUACCAUAUGCUGAUUAAACUGUUCUAGAUGUUGGAGAUGCAGCUAUGGACAAGACAAAUACAGUCUCUUCUCUCCAGGAAUUUACCUUCUAAUGGAGGAGAGAGACAAAAACAACUUUGUACAUAAACCUUUUCUGAUAGUCAUUAAGAAAAUAAAGCAACAUGGUGUCCAAAUUCUAGAUUGCUCAUUUUAAAGGCUAGGGUGCCUAAAACCACAAGGAACAUUUCAGAAUUAGUAACAUUCAUACUUCGUAGAGCUAUACUUAGGCUAAUAAAUGUUUGGUAUUGUUGCCUCCCCAACAGCCACCUCAGACCACCUCCUGACUCCAAGUUUCCCUGCUCAUCAAUCCAAAAUUUUGUUGAAUAUACUACUUCCCCACCCCCAAUGGAGCUUAAGGGUUAACCUGAACUCUCUAAACCAAUCAGGGCAUUCCUACUGUCUUUGAUCGUGAGUGUUGUAGGCAGAGACAUAUAACCCAAUCCUUGCUAAUGAGACUUGAGGUAGGACCCCAGCUUCCGGAGAGGUUGCCUGGCUCCUAAAAAGAGAAAGAUACCGGAAAAGAGAUGGACUCUUCUACCACUGGAAAUCAGAUGGUGUCCUGAGUGACAUAAGUGUACUUACAACAGCCAUUUUGCAACCAUAAAGAAGCCAGUGGGAAUACACAGGCUACGUGUCCUCGAAGGCACAGAAGAAAGAAGAGAGAAAACUAUAUUCUUGAUGACACAGUUGAGCUACAGAAUUGUCCAACCCCGGAGGUGCCCCACUUCGCGUUGUGGGAGAUAAUGCAUUUUCCUUGCUGUUUAAACCACUUUGAGCUGAGUUUUCUAUUACCAGCAGCCUAAAGCAUUUUGACAGAUAAAAGUAGAUACAAAUGCACAUAUAUAAUGAGCAUCCUGACUGAACGAUUAAAUGUGUAUGUAGGCAUGCAUUACCUCCCCACUCCAUUUAUGAUUGUCACAUUUAUUUUUACUUCAGGGAAAAGCAACUAUAGAAUUUAAAAAAUCAGGAUUGAAAACAAAUACCUGAAUUUCCUACAAUUAAAAAAUCAAUCCAUUAAGUAGUGGUAUUAUGCUAAAAUAAAAUGAAUGCUUAGAAAUUUGUUAAGUGUUUAUGAUGUAAUAAGACAUCAAAUAAACCAUUUUUCUUUAAGUUCUUUAAUAAAAAAAAUCUGAUGUGGAGUCCAGUCUUUCAUUUUUAUCACUGGAAUAAAUAGAGAAUAGUCAUUGCAAUCAAUUGCCUGUUUGUUUCCCCAGAG
rnacentral:lncRNA from 10 species